rnacentral:lncRNA from 1 species
AUGCUUAUCUCUUUGCAACAUUUUUCUUAUCAGGAACAUGCACAUUUUGUCAUUAUUGCAAAUGUACAUGACUCUAUAAGAAUGUUCAGUAUAAAUAUUGCUGUGAUGCUUCCUCCUCACUCUCAGUAGAAACAGACAGCUCCAGUGUUUAGGCUCUAGUUAUCCUGCUGCAAUGAAGAAAAAAUCAACCAUACAUUUGACUCAAAUUUUACUUAUUUUCAUCCUCAUUCAAGGAACCUUGACAAACAUGAUCGAUAGACCAAGGUAUCCUUGGUACCACAAGUGGUUAUCUGAUGAUGCUGGAUAUGCGCUUGAUGAGCCUCAGAUGGGACAGGAUCUGCCAGGAUCUGGAUCCGGUGAUGGCACAGAGAAGCCAUUCAGCCCAAGCGAUGAAGACAAGAGCAGGCAAUUCUCAAUUUUCAUUUCUCUAUCUCCACUCAUUAUCAUCUAAACAGAUACAUUUGAGAUAAAAUAUAACUUGUGUAUUAUUAUUUGUUUCUAAAGUUUUCAACCAGAAUGAGCCGAUUCAAGGAAUAGCCAAGAUGUCUAGAAGAACUUGUGGACCAAUUUUCUCACGGCCUGUCUCUAUUAAACCUUUUUGUUUUAAUUUUGGAAUCAUUGUCAGCCGUACUAUAACAUUUUGUAGAAUUAAGUAAUGAAUUAAAAUGUUAGAUGCAAACAAAAAACAUAUUCAAUAAAAAGAUAAUAAUCAAAUGAUAUUCAUUGUUUCAUUUCUCUUGUCUUCAAAUUCAGAGAAUAGACUAACAUUCUACUAACGAUCAUAUAAUAAAGGCUACAGGCUGGUCAGUGCAAAUAAACUGGCUUUUAACUAUAGUAAUUUAAUGUUAGUUUAACCAGUCAUUAUCUUAACUGCCUCAGAAUACAUGCUCUCAAGCAAUCAUAUGUUUUAUUCUGAAACCCACUCUGUAACUCUACUGUAAAACCAGCUAUACCAUCCCUAUAAAUAAUUCAUUUGUUAUAUCAGGAGUUGUAUUACUAAAUUUAAUAAUUUCUAAAAUCUUCACCUUGACCAAAUUAUUUUACACUUUCAUCCUUGAUCAUAUACUGCCCCAUUUUGUCUCAGAAAGUAAAUAUGUCGCUCCGGUGAUUGAUAGAGAGUUUCUACCAAUCCAACUAACAAUAAUAAUAAUAAAUACAAAAUAAAAUCCAUAGAUAGGGCUAAGUAUAGUUAUUUUUUGCACUGAAGUGUGGGAUGAGGUAGGGUUAUUUUCAACACUGUAGAGAGUAGGCUAUACCAGGGAUGCUAAACCUUGUCCUGGAGGAGCUUCACUUGCCUCAACACAAAGCUUGUGUCCCAAUGUUGCUACAUACUAUCCUUCCAAAAUUAUAUGUUAUAUUAUUAAUUUUCAAUACUAUUUAGGGCAGAUAGGGUGGAUAGUAUGCACAUUGGGACACAGUGGCAGUUUCAGGUAAGACCUUGAUUAGCUGCUUCAAGUGUGUUUCAUUAGGGUUGGAGCUAAACUCUGCAGGACUGAGUCUGUUUUUUUUUUUCACUGUACAUAUUACAAUUCUAUGUGGGAUUAUUUUCGCACUGAUAGUAUAGGGUUAAGUAAGCUUAUUUUUUUCACUGUAGAUGGUACAGGGUUCUGUAGGGUUAUUUUUUUCAAUCUAGACACUAUAGGUUAAGAAGAUAUUUGUAUACACUGCAGAAAGUAUAGAGUUUAAAUACAGGGUUUUCCAGCAUUCGCAGUUCUAGCUUGGCAAGACUUUCCUAAAGCUUAGAAUGGAGUCAUAGGAAGCAAGGCUGUUAAUUUCACUAGCUAGGGAUCUGUUGGGCCCAAAUUAUGUGCACUGGUUUGCCCAAGAGCUUCAAAACAAUUCUGCACCGUGUACAGAUAGACGUACAGUUAUUACUCUGUCUGAGGAGAAGCGUUAUGGCGGGAACAGAAUCUGAUGGCGAGGAAACAGCGUCAUCAAGCGGUUAAAUAUGAUAUGGUUCUUCCAGACAGAGUGACGUGCGGUUCAAGCAGGAAGUGAGCGCGUUCACGUGUGAUUGUGUUGUUCUGUUUUGCCGCCUUGACGCAAACUUACUUCACUUACAUAAGCUCUUAGUCAACUUUUAUUCGUUUCG